rnacentral:lncRNA from 1 species
UGAACUAUAAGGCAUUAUACUAUCUCCAUACCCAAGUCCAGUUACAUGUAGCCAAAAAAUUCAUACAUGUAAAGACAGCGAAAGAGUGUGACGCCCCCACUUCUCCCUAAGGCGAACCAAAGAGUAUCCGCGGGGCGCCUGCCCAACUCUCGCCAGGACUUACUACAAUCCAUUAUUCAAAAGUUCGAAAUACUUUAGGUAACUUCAAUACAUAAUUAAAGUACUUCAAUUAUCUUACACUUACAAUUAUGUAGCUUUCAAGCUUAAAUACAACCCAACGGAAAAGGGUACAAUAGCCAUCCGUUAUAAUAUAACUUAAAGUCUUCAAAAGAAAACAAUCUAGUACUACUCACGAGUACCCUUGGUCUCGAACCCUGUAAAAGAAAGCCACAACAUCGGAUGAGCUACACAGCCCAGCGAGGUUCCAAGACACUCUAACAGUUCAAAUAAAUCAAGUAAAUUGGGCAUAUCAUAUGCAUGGUUCAAGGUUACACAAUGGCAUGUUAUCAUGAGGUGAUAAUCAUUGUACGGGUAAUUUGAGACAUUUAUCAUGAGAUAGUUAUCAUGGUUCAAGACAUUGGCAUGUAUAGUUCAUGAGUGAUUGGAGCUUAUUACAGGUGCGAGUAAUUAAGCAUGUUACAGGUAUGGAGCAUUAACAUGAAACAGGUAUCAUGAUAUGAGUACAUUGGACAGGUAACAGGUAGGGAGCAUAUCACAGGCAUGGCUCAGGAUUUCAUGUUGACAUUUUAGCAUGAAACAAUUAUCAUGAUACAAGGUAAACAUAUACGGUAGGAUACGGUGUUCCAGUGGAACUCUGUCGGUCAUCUGCACCUUAUGACUUCCGGAUCCCCUCGGUUUGACUGGCCAUCACCUUAUCCCUCCAGUGGUAAUACUCGAGUAUACCGAAACGGUGGCCCAGGGUUCCAACCUACCCGACUGAGCCCAGUCCUGGCUCGAGUAGGUCAGUAACCAAGGGUAGGGCCCAAGUUCAGCUUAGAGCUUACAACAUGCACAGGUAACCAAGUAAUUCGACAAAAAGUAAAAUUCAUCAUUUGAGUAGGUCGAGUGAAGUAAAGUACACACUCGCCUAACAAUGAUGGACAGCUUCAUAUAACAUGUGUUUCAUUUUUCCUCUUGCGCCUGCUGCGAGAUCGCCUCCCCUUGGAUUGUUCAGUAUGGAAGUUGGGGAUUCAGGGACCUUCCCGAUGUUCAUGCUGUCCAUCUCCUGAGAUUGAGACGACGGAGCAUUUGUUUGGUGAUGGGGUGUUGGCACAGUAUGUGUGGAGGUUCUUUGGGGCUCCGGUUGGAGUAGGUUGGCCAGGGUCUUCGUUUCACGUAUAUAUGGCAGCCUGGUGGGAGGGACGGCAACGGAAUAAGUUUUUGAGGUUUGCCCAUCAGGUUGUCCCUUUGAUGAUCUGCUAGCAUCUCUGGAAGGCUCGCAACGGGAUGAAGUACGAGGGCAAGAGGAUUGUAGGGGCACAGGUAUGUCAAUUGAUAUUCUCAGAGAUGCUACAGUUGUUCAGGAUCCAGUUUCCGGAUUGCCGGGUUCCGUCGUGGUCGUGGAUCCAGUUCCAUUUGGCCAUAUCAACAUGGAAACCGGCGGUUUCACAUAGGUUGGUGAAAUGGGUCCGUCCUUUCCUUGGAAGUCUAAAGUUAAACACGGACGGUUGUUCGAAGGGUAACCCUAGCUUGAGUGGAGGGGGGGUGCUGCGUGAUGGGGAGGGAAGGAUGGUGCUGGCUUUUUCCUGUAGUUUCGGUUUGGCUUCGAGCAUGCAGGCUGAGACCCGCGCCCUAUUGUUUGAGGUCAAGUUGUGUCUCCAGAGGGGCAUCGAUACCUUGGACGUUGAACUGGACUCGUUGAUUUUAGUUCGUAUCUUGAAUCGUUUAGUACAUUGCCCUUGGGGCAUUCACACGGAGGUGCAGCAGUUGAUGGGGGUGGCGCAUCAUUUUUCUCGGAUUCUUCACUGCUACCGUCAGGCGAACCAGGUCGCGGAUAUAUUGGCAAAUACUGGUUGUCAGCAGGCCCGUGACGAUAUAUAUUUGGUAUCUUCGGAUUUGCCCCGUUUAGCGCGAGGAGCUUUAGUUCUAGAUAGGCUAGGAAUGCCAUCCCUCCGCCAGGUUAUGAGGGAUGGGUAGUGUUUUUGAGCAUUGGCGCUUGUAACUUUGGUUCUUUCCGUUUAAUAAAUAAAAAGAGAAGCUAUUAAAAAAAAAAAGUAAUCAAGUGGAUACUUAGCACGUAAGCAAUACAAGUUGAUUUCAUGGGAGCAUAUAAUUCACGGAUAUCGAAUAGUCAUGUAGAUUGGAAAUCAUGUGAGCAAAUAGUCAAGUAAUCAGGUAGUCAUGUGGGUUGGUAAACCGUUCACGGUUAACGGUUAACGGUUGAGUAGUGACGGUUAUUUGACAGGCAUUUGCCAUAUUGAUAGGCCAUCAUUGGCCGUUAUCCCAUUUUUACCAUGUGAGAGUCGAGGAGAUUCACUCCAACGACGUAUGCAACCAUAACAUACCAAGUCAUGUUAUUCGAGCAUUUCCAAGCAUGAGUUAUUCAUCUCAAAAGAGAACGAGUGCGAUAAAGUACACACUCGACCCCAUUUUUCAAAACCAAGUAGGCUAAGCAAGCAAUCUAGCAAGUUAAGUAUGAAUCGAGUUCAUAUGGUCCUUUGAUAUGGUUAAUCAUUUAACCAAUUCAUGUCGAUAUGCAAUGCAAGUAUACAUUAUUUAUAUAGGCAUGAGUAUGGUAAAUACUUAACACUUAAUAAUCAUGAAAUAAGCAUGUCCUAGACUUAUUCAAUUAUGUAUUCCUAUAUGGAACACUCACCUAGUCAAAACAAGCGAAUAGUUCUCAAACAAGCGUUUUAGGUGUCCGCUUCGAGAUUCUCUUGAAGGUCCCCUCGAGUGCCUGAGCAAACAAUAAUCAACUACCACUCAAUAUCACUACAAAUCUCUAAUUAUCGAGGAAGAUUGUACGCUAGUACAAUCUAAGGAAAUCUUAUGAAAAUGAACCUCAAUUACUCGUAAAUCGAGAUUCGAGUGGAGUUUCUUAAAGUACAUGAGCAAUCGAGUUUUCAUUUUGGAAAUCAAGUAUAAAAUGUUCAAGUAAUAUCGAAAGAAUAAGGAGUAUUUGAAAACUCCCUUCCCUUGGAAUUCGAAAAAUUUUCGGGUUUGAUACGAUACUUUGAAAAAUCGUAUCUCACAUUCUACAUAUCAAAAAUUGGAAAACUUGGUACCAUUGGAAACCUCUUUGAAAGUACUAAAAGUUCUUGGAAGACACUUUUCCACGAAUGUAAGUGAAAGGCACUCAAAUUUUGGCUCAAAGUUGGUAACUUGAAUUACCAAGACAGAUUUAAGUUGGUUUUUGGCCAACUUUGGAAAUUUGGCAAAAUUUACUUGUUUUGAACUAACCUUUGAAAUUUGGAAAUCAAUUAGUGUUCCAAUCCAAGAGUAUAACGAAACAAGCAGAAUGAGAAAUGGAGUUUCGAGCACCAAGAUAUGGUGACCCAAAGUUACCAAAAUUUUCUUGUUAAACAAGGGUUUUCAAACUUAAAUCAUGAACUUUGGAAGUUUUAUUAAACAUCAAAACGACCUCGGAAUAGGACCAAAUUUGGUAUGUACAUACGACCAUAUAAGGGUUAUUCCUCUACCAAAUUUCAUAGAAAAAUAUGCACGGGAAGUCGGUUAAUGAAACCACAAGAAAUUCUAAGGCUAAGUUGCCUUUGAACUUCCGUUUUGCCGUUUUUCAAACGUUUGGCCAGGGCACAUUUCAAACAUGGUCCAUUCCAGUAAGAAAUGUCUAAAAUAUGUCCAAGGUACAUUUGAUAGGUGAUUUAUACCAAGAAGCUUCAGAAAACAAGUCCCAAAUCAUUGUUAGUUACAAAUCUGUCCAAGUGGAAAAUUCUAUCACUGUAGCAGUUUCAACCUUUGGCCACAAAUCACUCAAUUCAACUUGGAAUUGGGCAUGGUUGAUGGCAUUGGAAAGCUCUCUCAUAAAGCUGAAUUUUUUCAGAAGAAACCAUUUUCAAAUUCUAUCCACAAACAGCUCGUUUUUGAGCAUCAAGAAGUAAUUUCUGUCCUGUCUCCUGGAGAGCAACGAAACAGGGCAGUGAUUUUCAAACGAAUGGUGUGGCUCACUCAAGUGGAACCAGAACGUGUAUUUGGUACCAAUGGAAAGCUGGGAAUGUCUAGUUUCAAAUUCCACCAACGGCACUCAAUUUCAACGUCGGAGUACAGAGUUAUGGAUGAAACAAGCAAGCUGUCUGAGCAUUACGGGAACAGUUCCCAGGUUCACUAGCUUCACGAAAAUAAUUCAUUGACCAACCAAACCUCAAUAUUUUUCAAUGAAAUUUUAUACACCAUCUAUACAACAUAUAAACAUCAUAUGCAAGCCAUUAAACCCUCAAAAUUCUGCAGAAAAUGGUACGAUCAAAGCAGGGUCAAAAUCGGAACUUUUUACGCCAUGCACUCCUUGAAGUUUCUACUAGUUAUACACCAUUAAUCUACCAUUUUUAGCACUAAACCAACAUUAAAUCCAUCAUCAAGCAUGAGAUCAGUCCCCAAGACAAAGGUGGGAGUUCAUAGAGCCCACCCAUUUCAUUUUACACCAUAAACAAGCUAACCAAUGGCAUAAAUGAACUUAAUUAGGUAAGAUAACCUCCAAAUAACAAGUUUCUAAGGUUGGAUCAUCACUCACUUGGUUGGAGGCUCAAGAGCAGAAUUUCGGUCACUCUUUGCUCCAGAAAACCGUGGCUUUUCAGCUCCCUUUUGCAGCUCAAAAUACUCCUCAAGUGUUAAGCUAAGUGUGGUGAAAUUUUGGUAGGAUUUGAGUGAAGAUUUGGUGAGGUUUUGUGAAGUAAAAAUUGAGAGAGCAAUGGUGGUUUGAGAGAGAGGGAUGGCCGGCUGUGGAGGGAGAAGAGAGUGAUCAGAU